CGAGUUCAAUUCCGAUGCACCGCGAAGAACCUAACCUACUCUCUGACACCCAGAGAACUUAGCAGAGAGGCUUUUGGUGCCUUCGGGAACUCUGAGACAGGUGCUGCAUGGCUGUCGUCAGCUCGUGUUGUGAAAUGUUGGGUUAAGUCCCGCAACGAGCGCAACCCUUAUCCUUUGUUGCCAGCGGUCCGGCCGGGAACUCAAAGGAGACUGCCAGUGAUAAACUGGAGGAAGGUGGGGAUGACGUCAAGUCAUCAUGGCCCUUACGAGUAUGGCUACACACGUGCUACAAUGGCAUAUACAAAGAGAAGCGACCUCGCGAGAGCAAGCGGACCUCAUAAAGUAUGUCGUACUCCGGAUUGAAAUCUGCAACUCGACUCCAUGAAGUCGGAAUCUCUAGUAAUCGUGCAUCAGAAUGCCACGGUGAAUAUUCUCUA
rnacentral:rRNA from 1 species